ensembl:snRNA U6 U6 spliceosomal RNA
GUGCGCACAUUGGCAGCACAUACACUAAACAGGAUGAAAUGACACAAAGAGAAUUUGCACAGCCCCUGCACAAGCGUGUCACGCAAAUUUGAGAAAAUAAUUCGAAAGUC